ACACGCACCGCGCUCAGCCAGGCUGGGCAGGGACGGAAGCGGCGGCUCUGCGGGGACCGCGAUCGACCAGGCUGCGGGGCUUGCGGAUCUGGCCGCCGCUUCCCGUCCAGGGCCGCAGUCUGCCCGUGGCCGCACGGGGGCGCGCCCGGCCGCCAGACCACGCCGCCCAGGUCGGGCUGGGAGGACUACUGUGCGCUCCUGCUCUGAGUCAGCCCGGCCUGGCUCCUCCAUGAGCAAGGGAAAGGGGAAGUGCCUGCCGCAGGGAGGGGCCUGGCCCCGGGAACCUCAGAAGAGGGAAUUUUAUUCUUACUCAUCGAAUUAUUUUUAUGCUUUGGUUUUUCACUGGGAACCUCAGGCCACUGUCUCCAGGGCUUGUAACCCUUUGGGGUCCAAUGCAUGGUGGCUGGACCCUGCUGAUGGGAACUCCAAACCUGGGAGGCGAGGGCUCUGUGCUUCCCUCACCUGGAGGAAGCUAGACCUGACCUCUUUGGUUAGACUAAGGCAGCAAACACUGGAUAGCAGUUCUUAUAACCGCAAUUUACUGACCACCUACUAUGUGCUAUUCACUUUACUCGCACUAUCUCACUGAAUCCUCAUAUUAUCCCAUUGUGGUGGGUACUGUUAGCCCAGGGUCACACAGUGGCACAGAUGGCAGAGCCAGGAUUCAAACCUGGGUGUCCUGAAGCCAGAGUAUGUGAUACCACUUCUCACGUCUAGGUCCUGAACAGCAGUGGGAGUCUGGCUUGGCGUUUCGAGUUUGUAUUCUUCUCUGGAAAUCAGCCAGUACAGGAGAAGAUUCAGGAAGGGGCAUGUGGGUACUCACUUGGGCAGAGAUAGCGACUGAGUACAGGUCUCUUAAGUCUCUGACCCUCAUCAGCCUCCCAUGGCAGCUCCAACCAUUUACUCUGUCACUUUCCCCUCUGCUGGGGCUCUUGAGAGCACACUCAGCUCUCAGGGCUGCCUCUGGUGCCUGUCCCACUUCAUGUUGCACUGUUGGCCUUCCUUAGACCGCCAACUUCUCCCUGGUGGCCCAGCUUGUCUUCUGAAGCUUUCUGUCCAUCUCACCCCACCGGGCCCAUACAACUGCCAGGACGUUCUGUUCCCUCCCUGAGUUCCAAAAUGGAAUCCCUGGGUUAGUUUCUUGGCAAAGAAAAGCUACUCAGGGAUCCUGCCCUAGGACUUCUAAAAUGCCCCCCUCCCUGUAUGCAAAAGCGCUCCAUCUUAUGCAAAGCACUUCACAAUAUGCAAAUGAUUUCACAAUAACACAGUCAGCAUUCCUGCCUCUGGAGGCUGAGCGCUCCUGGCCACCCAACAAGGGGAUGGGCAAGACCCAGCCAGAAACGUUACUUGGUGCCAAUGCACUACCCUUUCCUCCCACCUGGCCUGGAAUUCCCAUCGGAUACCUAAGGCCCGGUGGCUCACAUCUGUAAUCCCAGCACUUUGGGAGGCCUAGGAAGGAAGAUCUUUUGAGCCCAGGAGUUCCAGACCAGCCUGGGUAACAAACUGAGAACUGGUCUCUACAAAAAAAUUUAAAAUUAGUCAGGUGUAAUGGUGCGCACCUGUAGCCCCAGCUACUCAGGAGGCUGAGGUGGAAGGAUUGCUUGAACCCGGGAGGUCAAGGCUGCAGUGAGCCCUGAUCGUGCCACUGCACUCCAGUCUGGGUA
rnacentral:lncRNA from 1 species